AGACACGUUUGGAUUCUACUCCCAACCCCCCCCCCCCCCUCCAGCCCAGCCCUAGACCACACGAAUCGAGAAUGACGCGAUAUGGAAUACUAGGGAGGGGCAGAGCCUCACCCAACCUGAGGCUGAUGGAAACUCAGCAGCCUCCGCCAAAGGAAGCAGAAGGCGGGGGAGCAGCCGGAUUCCUAUCCCUGCGAAUGGGAGGGCGGGCGGGGGACUCUCUCCCUCCUCGCCCCAAGGGUACGUGGAGUGUAAAUGGUAGAACUGUUGGGGUCUGAGCCCAUCGAAUCUCUGCGCAGAACAGGUGAACAGAGACAAGCACACAGAAACUCAAUUGUACACACGCGGACCUGGGAAGGAAUCGAUCUUAGCCACUCUUCUUUUGGCUCGACUCUGAAGUCGCCCCAGGCCCCCACACCCUGGCUCCGUUUUCUUUUGUUGCUCAGGGUUUCCAUGGAGACGGAGCUGUGAAGUCGAGCCGCCCCAGACGCGUUUGGGCGGCGUCUCUCCCUCUCUCCUUCCCCCUCCUCUCUCUCUCUCCCUCUACCUCCUCUCUCCUCUCCUCUCCUCUCUCCCUCUCUCUCCCUUUCUCCCCUCUGUCCCUCCCCUUCUCUCUCCCUCCCCUCCCUCUCCCUCUCUCCGUUUCUCUCCCGCUCUCUCUAUUUCCACCUUCCCCUCCCUUUUCGGUCUCUGGGGCUCAACCAACCCCACCCUCCUGGCUAGUCUGGACUGUAGUGCGAUAGGAAUGAGAGGAAGAGCUUGUAAAGGUUAGGGGACAAAGAAUGGGCAGGGAGCGCCUAGCAGAAUCUAAGCACUAAGCAAGGGUGGGAAGAGGAAAACUGAGACAACUGGAUCCAGGAUAAGGUGCCUCAAAUUCUAAAUAGAAUUUGGUUUGAGUGUCAAUCAGAGGCAUCUGAACUUAUAAUUCGGCAACAAUAAGACAAUGAAACGGCUACAGUUUAUCACUGGAAUGAUGUCCGGCACCGGAGUAGGGGCUCCAGAGUAGGAGUUUGGCCAGGGUCAGGUGGCAGGAAACAGGAAACACUGGCAAGAAAGGUUAGAGUGGAAUAUUUUUAAGAUUGUGAGUACUGUGUGUAAAAAGUCAAGUAAGAUCUUGGCAAGACAACAGGAUAGACCAGGCUUUGAUAUGGAGGGGGAGGAGGCCUUCCUUAGAACUAAAGCCAAGCGGGCAGUGGGGUGGCUCAGUGGAUUGAGAGACAGUCCUAGAGAGGGGCGGUCCUACUUUUAAAUGACCCUGGGCAAGUCGCUUAACCCCCAUUGCCUGGCCCUUGCCACUCUUCUGCCUUGGAACCAAUACACAGUAUUGAUUCUAAGCCAGAAAGUAAGGGUUUAAAAAACAAACAAACAAAAAGAACUAAAGUCAAGAACUUGCUAGGGACUCACUCCUGAGGCCGUUUUAGCCAUAGCCGAUUGACAUUCUUUGGGAUAUAUAACCUGUAUUAGAGUAAUACAUAUUUGUCCUUCACAGAUAAGAUCAUCUUAAAAUUUAGAGAUCAUCUCAUCGAUACCUUACAUUUUGUAUGAGGGGAGGCACAAAGAGUUCAAGUGAUUUACCCAUGGUCAAAUAUUAAGUGGCAAGAGAGAUUUAAACUUAGUUCUUUGGAUUCUAUAUCUUUUCCUACAGUCAGGUUUUCCUAUUCUUUGAUGUUUCUCUUGGUACACAGGGUGAGAGGGUGUUAUAACAGAUGGGACAGGUUCAUAGAAAUAAGUAACUAGAAUUCUGUUUUCUAUCCCCAGUUCUCCCAGAGAUUUGGUGAUGGCUCUAGAAUAGACAGUACAGAAUUCCUAGGAGGAGGGCCUGGGAAGACUGGGAUCAAGUCUCACCCCACAAACAUACCCAACAGGAAGGUGGAGAGUGGCAUGCUUUACUUUUAUCCCUCCUAGUGAAUAAGAAAAAAAGCUUCUGGGUGUUCAUUUUUGUUUGUGACUCAAGGACCUUCCCCUUACUCCAUAAGUCAUCUACUAAGAGAGGAUCCACAGUUUAGAUAGCCCUUCAUAUCAUAGAAAACAAAAACUGAGGGAUGUUCAACAGGCCCUGAGAAAAGAUAUGAAUAACUGAGCUUUUUGGUUUUGAGACAGCUUCAAGCUCUGCCUUUGGAUCUCACUGGGAUCUAUAUUUUUGUCUCAGACAAGGGCAAGGUAUAUUUACCCUCCUUGAUCAGAGGUCUCUUGAGGCCAGAGGCAAAUCUUCUUCUUAGUCUAGGAUUCCCUGAUAGCAGAGCAACCAACACUUGUUCCCUGCAAACAGGCUCCUGGGUAGCAGGUCUGUGUCUCCUUUCCUCUUUUACUUAGUUCUCUCUCUGCAGUCCCUGGUCUCCUAUAAAGAUGCUGCCCUCCCCUUUGACCAUGGUCUCUUAAGAAACUUGCUUUGGCCACAUUUUCAUUCAUGUGUUGCCCCUUCCUUGGUGUCAUGAUCACAGAGGAGCAAUACUCCUCUCCCUAUCACUAUCACUCAGGAACUUCUUUUUUGGGGGUUCAUUCAAGUCCUCUUUAUAGUGCUAUUAAGAUUAUGGUAGGUGCUAUCUCUUUUUUUUACUUUUUAAAAUUCAAAGAUAUUUUAUUUUCCCAAUUAUAUGUAAUCAUAAUUUUCACCAUACUCUUUCCAAAAUUAUAAGAUCCAACCCAUCUCCAUCCCUUCUUUGUCUCCCCUGACUUGGAGAUGAUAAGCAAUUUGAUCAUGUGUUGUCAUACAAAGCAUACUUCCAUAUUGAUCCAAACUCAAAACCCAAAAUAAAACCAUAAAUACCCUGAUGUGAAAGAUAGUAUGCUUUGACCCAUAUCAUAUGACUCAACAGUUUUCUCUAGAGGCUUUCCUUUCAUAAGUCUUUCAAAAUAGACCCAGAUCAUUGCAUUGCUGAGAGUAGCCAAGUUUUCACAGAUAAUCAUCGUAUAAUAAUGUUGUUAUUGUGUACAAUGCUCUCCCAGUUCUGCUUAUUUUGCUGUGCAUCAUUUCCUACAGGUCUUUCGGGUAGCUGUUAUCUCUUGAUCUCUAGGAAACUUUCUUCUUUUCAUUGAGUUCAAUGCCUCACUCAGUCUUUCUCCCUUUUCCAAUUCCAUCCUCAUACCAGGGGACUUCAAAAUACAUAUUAAUGUUCCCUCAAAUUCUUAAAUUCCCAAACUGAAUUCUCACUAACUCACUUCCCGUGACUUACUUCUUCCCUCAUCUAGACUACACUCUAAGAUGGUGAUACCUUUGAUCUUGUAUUCUACUUCCAUGCACAUAAAUUCUGAAAUUCCUUUAUCUGAUUACCAUCUGUUGUCAUUCAACCUGACACCUCUAACUCUGUUUUUUCCUUCUCAUCCUGACCUUCAAUUCUUCUACCCUGAAUUUCUAUUCCAGGCUAUCUCCCUUUCACUAAUUUUACUCUUCUCUUUCCCCCAUCUUGAUCCUUGGUGAACCAGCUCAACUCUACACUAUCCUCUUCUCAAGUCCCUUACUUCUUUAUUCUAUUAUCAAUCUUGCCCUACCAAGCCCCAGUCUUAGAUUACUCCUAUCACCUCCUGAAAUGGGAAUCUCCUAUUACCUUGCUGUUGAAUGAAGUAGAAAAUCACAAAAUCAUGCUGACUUGGUUCACUACAAAUUUGUUACAUAAUUUCCAUUGAGUCCUUACAGCAGCAAACCAAUUCAAGAUCUCUCAGUGGAUGUCUAAAACUAUGGACAGUUCUCACUUUUAACUUUGUUUUUAAACCUUUACUAUGUAUUGGUUCCAAAGCAGUGGUAAGGGCUAGGUAAUUGGAGUUCAGUGACUUGCUCUAAGUCACACAGCUAGGAAGUAUCUGAGAGCACAUUUGAAUCUAAGAUUUCCCAUCUCUAGGCCUGGCUCUAAAUCCACUGAGCCUCUUCACUUUAACUUUUAACAUGUAUGUUAACUUUGCUGUAUAGUACUACACUCUCUUUCUCUGUGUUCCUGUAUUCUGAAGCUUCCCCUCUCCCUGUUCCCCCUCCCCCCCAAAACCCUUUCCAAAUGAAACCAGAAGAACCACUGCCAGGCAGAGGACUAUGGGUAACUGAAAUGGAGAGUAAACUGAAAGCACAGAAAGUGAAACUUUGGAUAGGGGGUUUCUGUAUUUUCACUGUACGAUUCUAUUCAAGUUAACCUAUCAAUUAUCAUUUGUAUAUCGUCAUUAUGACUUCAUGAGUUCCUGGAGGGCAGAGGAUGUUUUUAUCCUUUUUUUUCAUUCUCAAAAUCUAGUACAGGUUCUGGCAAAUAGUAAAUACUUAAUAAAUACCUGUGGGCCUGACUUCUCAUUAUCUUGGUCAGUAUUUAGGUAUUUCUAAUUCUGAUAUUUAAUUUUGGUCCCUAUGCUAUCAGGAAGGUAAAAACUACUUUGCCUCUGGCUCCAGGACCAGAUUCUUCAUAAAGACCAUUAGUGUUGCAUCAGUUUUCCUAUGGCGGACUCAGUUUGCUGGCUCCCAAAACAAACUCACUCCCUCACACACGUAUACAUAGCCACACAAUUAUCUAUACUUUCACACAAAGUGCACACAUACAUUUAUAUACACAAAUAUAAGUAUUUUUUCUCCCUUCAGGAUUAUUCAGAUCAGAACAAAUAGUCACCUUUUCCUUUCCUGGAAGGUCAUGGAUUUCUCUGGCAGAGCAGGGAGUCAGUCAACAAAGUAGAACAGCAGGAAAAAGAAAUUUUGCUAGAAUGCUUUAAAAUAUUUUUUCUAUUAAAUUUUUUUCAGUUAUAUGUAGAAACAAUUUUUGACAAUUUCUUUUUACAUUUUAAAAUUAAAAAUUUUCUCCCACCUUCCCUCCCUAAGGCAGUGAAAAGUCUAAUACAGAUUAUACCCAUACUUUCAUUGAAUACAUAUUAACAUUUUGCUCAUGUCAUGAUAGAAGAUACAUAUCACACAUACACACACUAGAAAUAAAGGAAAUAUAGUGGAAGAUGCCAUGCUUUGAUCUGCAAUCAUUGUCCAAGUUUCCUUUUUGGGAACAUUUUCAUCAUGAGUCCCUUGUGAUUAAAUUAUAGACUUGCCUUGUUGGUAAUGGUUUAGUUUUCCACAGUUGAUCAUCAUAUGAUAUUUCUGUUAUUAUAUACAUUGUUCUCCUGGUUCUUACUCACUUCAUUUUGCAUCAGUUCAUAUGUCUUGCCAGGUUUUUCAGAAUUCAUCCUGUUUAUCAUUAUUUAUGGCAUAGUAGUAUUCCAUUACAACCACAUACCAAUAACAUGUUCAUCCAUUCCCCAAGUGAUGGACAAACAUUGUUUCCAGUUUUUUGCCACUACAAAAAGAACUUCUAAAAAUAUUUUGGUACAGUAAGUCCUUUUCUUUUAUCUCUGAUCUUUUUGGAAAACAGAUGCAGGAGCAAUACUGUUGGGUCAAAGGGUAUGCAUAUUUUUGUGGUCCUUUCGGCUUGGUUCUAGGUUGUAUCAGUUCACAGUUCCACAAUAGUGUAGUAGUAUCCCAAUUUUUCCACAUCUCCUCCAACAUUUACUAUUUUCCUUUUUGGACAUGUUAAUCAAUCUGGUAGUGUGAAGUGGUAGCUCAGAGUUGUAUUAGUUUGCAUUUCUCUAGUCAAUAGUGAUUUGAAGCAUUUUUUCAUGUAACUAUGGAUAAUUUAAAUUUCUUCUUCUGAGAACUGCCUUUUGACCAUUUUUCAAUUGCAAAAUGCUUUAUAUUUUUUAUAAAUUUGACUUAGUUCUCUAUAUAUUUGAGAUAUAAGCCUUUUGUUGGAGAUACUUGCUAUAAGAUUUUUUCCAAAUUUGGUAUUUCCUUUCUAAUCUUGGUUGCAUUGGUUUUAUUUGUAUAAACCCUUUUUAACUUGAUGUAAUCAAAAUUAUCCAUUUCAUUUUUAACAACAUUAAUUUCUCUAUGUUUUGUUUGGUCAUAAAUUCUUCCCUUAUUCAGAAGUUUAACAGGUCAGUUUUUCCAUGUUCCCUUAUUUUGCUUAUGGUGUCAUUUCUAGAUCAAGUAUCCAUUUUGACUUUAUCCUGGUUAUGGUAUGAAAUGUUGGUCCCUGCCUAGUCACUGGAAACUGCUUUCUAGUUUACCCAGCAAUUUUCUUCAAAUAAUGAAUUCUUUCUCCCAAAGCUUAGAUCUUUGGAUUUAUAGAAUACUAAGUUGUUAUAAACAUUAACUGCCACAUGUUGAGUGCCUAAUCUAUUCCAUUGAUCCACCAUUUUAUUUCUUAGCCAGUACAAGAUUGUUUUGAAGAUUAUUAUUUUAUAGUAUAGUCUGAGAUUUAUUACAGUCAGGUCUCCUUCCUUCAUAUUUUUUUCCUAUUAAUUUGCUUAAUAUUCUUGGCCUUUUGUUCUUCCAGAUGAAAUUUGUUGUUAUUUUUCUAGUUCCAUGAAAUAAUUUUUCAAUAAUUUGGUUGGUAUGGCACUGAAUUAAUUUAGUUAAGAUUGUGAUUUUUCACUCUAAUGGCUCACUCUAUUCCUGAGGAAUGAAUGUUUUCCAGUUGUUUAGGUCUGACUUUAUUUGUUUGGAAUGUUUUACAGUUGGAUUCAUUCAUAUACUUUCUGGGUUUGUUUUAGUAAGUACAUCCCCAGGAAUUUUAUAUUAUCUAGAGUUAUUUUGAAUGGAAUUUCCAGUUCUAUCUUUUGCUUGUUGAUGGUAAAUAGAAUUGCAUUUGAUUUAUGUGACUUUGAUGAAGUUGUUAAAUAUUUCUAUUAGUUUUUUGGUUCUUUAGGAUUCUUUAGAUAUAUAUCCAAUGCUUUUUUUAAUAUAAAACAGGAAUUUGUUGGAAUGUGACUGAUAUAUUAGGGAAUAUUUUGAACAUAAUAUGAACUACAAGUUAUGUAUGUGCUAUUUAUUACACACAAAAUAAUGAGAAUGUAGUCUGCUCUAUUUCAGAAUAACUCACAAGCUACACCCUUCUCAUGCUCACUUCUACAAGUAAACUUCAGGACUUUGUGAAAGUGUCUUUCCCUGGAGAGGUGGCUCUGGCUGAUCAUUUCCCGUGAGCAGGCCUGGGCGCGCCAGUUCGAUCCUGGAACUCAAGCCUGGAGGAGCUCCCUCAGACAGCUUCCUUGAGAUGGUCACGUGGCAUCAAUCUCCCUUGGAGAAAGGUGAUUGGAGAAGACUUUAAGAGAUAUUUAUUCCUGCCUCCCUGUGGGCCACAUUCUAGGCACACCCACGUGGACACACAUAUCUACAUGAGCAACAGAAAACAAGGGGGUACCCUUGGCCCCUUACUAUUACUGUAGUUGAAUCAUUAAACUUAUAAUGCA